AGAUGGGGGGAAAAGAGCAAAGUUGAGGAAGCACUUGCAAAAACUGAUUUAUUGCCAAAGGAGAACAUAGAUGAUUCCUUGAGUAGUGACAAUACUGCAUGAUGGGAUGACGCCUUCAUGAAGAUGAAUCUGUACACAGGCAAAGAUUUGACCUGAGCAAUCUAGGAAAUAUACGCUCCAUUCUCAAGUGUUCCUCCUGUUUCACACCUUAUGCUGUAAUUUAGAGCUUGAUUGACUCUGGGGGAAAAAAAGAUAUCCUCAGCUGGCUAAAUGGGGAAGCGGUAAGCCCUCUGGUAAUAUU